UUCGUAGUCCAGUGUUGCUAGUCUCCUUUCUCACCAGCACUCUGUGACUGCAACA
rnacentral:miRNA from 1 species